rnacentral:rRNA from 1 species
UACGGAGGGUGCAAGCGUUAUCCGGAUUCACUGGGUUUAAAGGGUGCGUAGGUGGGCAGGUAAGUCAGUGGUGAAAUCCCCGAGCUUAACUUGGAAACUGCCAUUGAUACUAUCAGUCUUGAAUAUUGUGGAGGUCAGCGGAAUAUGUCAUGUAGCGGUGAAAUGCUUAGAUAUGACAUAGAACACCAAUUGCGAAGGCAGCUGGCUACACAUAUAUUGACACUGAGGCACGAAAGCGUGGGGAUCAAACAGG